AGGUCAAGUUGUUUUCUUGAUGAAUCCCAAUGCGUGUACCUGGAUGCUUCAGUUGAAGCUCUAAACUCAUCCUUUUUAGUGCUGAUCUGUAACCUGGACUACGAAAACGUGGUUUCCCUGACUCCUCUUCUGCCCCUCUACACAACAGCCGGAGAUUUGUCAAAAAUGUAAUUCAGAUAU